AAGGGUGAGUAAGGCGACGGUAACCAACCCCAGGAUUGGGUAUAGCCGCGGGAAACCGCGGGUAAUCCCCAGCGACGCAACGACACCGGCAUCGGUGUUUUGCCAAAGCUUCGGCGUUGUGGGACGGGCUGUCGUGGUAUUAGCUUGUUGGCGGGGUAAUGGCCCACCAAGGCUGUGAUGCCUACCGGGCGUGCGAGCGUGGCCCGGCACACUGGGACUGAGACACUGCCCAGACUCCUACGGGAGGCUGCAGUCGAGAAUCUUCGGCAAUGGGCGCAAGCCUGACCGAGCGACGCCGCGUGGAGGAUGAAGGCCUUCGGGUUGUAAACUCCUGUCGAGGGGGAAAAAGGGUUGAAAGACCUUGAUUGAUCCCUGGAGGAAGCACGGGCUAAGUUCGUGCCAGCAGCCGCGGUAAGACGAACCGUGCGAACGUUAUUCGGAAUCAUUGGGCUUAAAGCGCGUGUAGGCGGAUUCGUGCGUCUGUCGCUGAAAUCCCCCGGCUCAACCGGGGAACGGGCGCGGAUACGACGAGUCUGGAGGGGCAUAGGGGGACCUGGAACUUCCGGUGGAGCGGUGAAAUGCGUUGA
rnacentral:rRNA from 1 species